UUGAGGAGGCGGUGACCAUGGCGGUGGAGGAGGAGGAUAAGGUAGCAAACACUGUUUUUAUAUAUAUAUAUAUAUAUAUAUAUAUAUAUUAUUUUAUUUUAUUUUUUUUAAUUGGGGUAGCCCACAAAAUAUUGGGACAUAUAAAAAAAUACAACUCUGUUGCAGAGUAGCUGUUGAAAUAGUUGCGCAGGAACUUUGUUGACUUUAGAGAACCUCAGGCAAAUCGCACAUCCCUGUGGCAGCGACUUUGCAUGCGGAUGUCAUCCAUAUCAACUUUCGAUGCCAGUUUCUGCGCUUACCAUGGUUACCACGGGUAACGGGGAAUCAGGGUUCCAUUCCAUACAGGGACCCUGAGAAACUGCUACCACAUGCAAGGAAGGCAGCAGGCACGCAAAUGACCCACUCGCGACGCGGGAAGGUAGUGACGACAAAUAACAAUACAGGACUCUCUAGAGGCCCUGUAAUUGUAAUGAGUCCACUUGAAAUCCUUUAACUUUGAUCAGUUGGAGGGAAGUCUGGUGCAGAGCCACUGACCUGUGCGAGU
rnacentral:rRNA from 1 species